GACGAACGCUGGCGGCGUGCUUAACACAUGCAAGUCGAACGGAAAGGCCAGGAUCUUGUGGGGUGCUCGAGUGGCGAACGGGGGAGUAAAACGUGAGUAAACUGUCCUUGACUUUGGGAUAACUCCAGGAAACUGGGGCUAAUACCGGAUAGGAGCUCCUGCUGCGUGGGGGGGGAUGGAAAGUGUCGGCGGUGGGGGCUGGAAUCGCGGGUUAUCAGCCUGUUGGUGGAGUAGGGGCUUACCAAGUGUUCGACGGGUAGGCGGCCUGGGAGCGUGGACGGCCACAAUGGUACUGCGGUACGCCGCAGUCUCCUACGUGAGGCAGCGGUGGGAAGUAUUGCACAAUGGGCGCGAGCCUGAUGCAGCGACGCCGCGUUCGUGAUGCCGGCCUUCUGGUUGUAAACCGCUUUCGCCUGUGACGUAGCCUGAGUGACGGUACUGGGUAAGGAAGCCCCGGCUAACUACGUG
rnacentral:rRNA from 1 species